rnacentral:rRNA from 1 species
UACGUAGGGGGCAAGCGUUGUCCGGAUUUAUUGGGCGUAAAGAGCGUGUAGGCGGCCAGAUAGGUCUGUUGUGAAAACUCGAGGCUCAACCUCGAGACGCCGAUGGAAACCAUCUGGCUAGAGUCCGGAAGAGGAGAGUGGAAUUCCUGGUGUAGAGGUGAAAUUCGUAGAUAUCAGGAGGAACACCAGUGGCGAAGGCGGCUUCCUGGACACUAACUGACGCUGAGACGCGAAAGCGUGGGGAGCAAACAGG